UGCAAGUCGAACGAGAACGGGUUAUAGCUUGCUAUAAUUGUCAGCUAAGUGGCGCACGGGUGAGUAAUGUAUAGGUAAUAUGCCUCUUACUAAGGGAUAACAAAUGGAAACGAUUGCUAAUACCUUAUACUCCUUAUUAACUAAAGUUAGUAAGGGAAAGAUUUAUUGGUAAGAGAUUAGCCUGUAUUGUAUCAGUUAGUUGGUGGGGUAAUGGCCUACCAAGACUAUGACGCAUAACUGGUUUGAGAGGAUGAUCAGUCACACUGGAACUGAGACACGGUCCAGACUCCUACGGGAGGCAGCAGUGGGGAAUAUUGCACAAUGGACGAAAGUCUGAUGCAGCAACGCCGCGUGGAGGAUGACACAUUUCGGUGCGUAAACUCCUUUUAUAUAAGAAGAUAAUGACGGUAUUAUAUGAAUAAGCACCGGCUAACUCCGUGCCAGCAGCCGCGGUAAUACGGGGGGUGCAAGCGUUACUCGGAAUCACUGGGCGUAAAGAGCAUGUAGGCGGAUUGAUAAGUUUGAAGUGAAAUCCUAUAGCUUAACUAUAGAACUGCUUUGAAAACUGUUAAUCUAGAAUGUGGGAGAGGUAGAUGGAAUUUCUGGUGUAGGGGUAAAAUCCGUAGAGAUCAGAAGGAAUACCGAUUGCGAAGGCGAUCUACUGGAACAUUAUUGACGCUGAGAUGCGAAAGCGUGGGGA
rnacentral:rRNA from 1 species